rnacentral:rRNA from 1 species
UUCGGGGGGACAGGGUGACAGGUGGUGCAUGGUUGUCGUCAGCUCGUGUCGUGAGAUGUUGGGUUAAGUCCCGCAACGAGCGCAGCCCUCGCCUCUAGUUGCCAGCAUUCGGUUGGGCACUCUAGAGGGACUGCCGGCGACAAGUCGGAGGAAGGUGGGAUGACGUACAAAUCAUCAUCGCCCCUUAUGACCUGGGCUACACACGUGCUACAAUGGGCGGUAACAAAGGGCUGCCGAACCCGCGAGGGGGAGCGAAUCCCAAAAAGCCGCUCUCAGUUCGGAUUGCAGGCUGCAACUCGCCUGCAUGAAGCCGGAAUCGCUAGUAAUCGCGGAUCAGCAUGCCGCGGUGAAUACGUUCCCGGGCCUU